rnacentral:rRNA from 1 species
UACGAAGGGUGCAAGCGUUACUCGGAAUUACUGGGCGUAAAGCGUGCGUAGGUGGUUCGUUAAGUCUGAUGUGAAAGCCCUGGGCUCAACCUGGGAAUUGCAUUGGAUACUGGCGGGCUAGAGUGCGGUAGAGGAUGGCGGAAUUCCCGGUGUAGCAGUGAAAUGCGUAGAGAUCGGGAGGAACAUCUGUGGCGAAGGCGGCCAUCUGGACCAGCACUGACACUGAGGCACGAAAGCGUGGGGAGCAAAC